CCCUUAGAUGUUCUGGGCCGCACGCGCGUUACACUGAUGCAUUCAACGAGUUUCUUCCUGGUCCGAGAGGAAUGGGUAACCUUUUGAAAGUGCAUCGUGAUAGGGAUAGACUAUUGCAAUUAUUGGUCUUCAACGAGGAAUUCCUAGUAGACGUAGUUCAUCAGACUGCAUCGAUUACGUCCCUGCCCUUUGUACACACCGCCCGUCGCUCCUACCGAUUGAAUGCUCAGGUGAGCCAUUCGGACUUUCAUCAUGCUGGUUUCCAGUUUUGAUGAAGGAAAGUCUUGCGAACCUUAUCAUUUAGAGGAAGGAGAAGUCGUAACA
rnacentral:rRNA from 1 species